rnacentral:rRNA from 1 species
CGUGGGUAACCUGCCCAAGAGAUCGGGAUAACACCUGGAAACAGAUGCUAAUACCGGAUAACAACAGAUGAUGCCUAUCAACUGUUUAAAAGAUGGUUCUGCUAUCACUCUUGGAUGGACCUGCGGUGCAUUAGCUAGUUGGUAGGGUAACGGCCUACCAAGGCGAUGAUGCAUAGCCGAGUUGAGAGACUGAUCGGCCACAUUGGGACUGAGCACGGCCCAAACUCCUACGGGAGGCAGCAGGC